rnacentral:rRNA from 1 species
UACGGGGGGAGCAAGCGUUGUUCGGAUUUACUGGGCGUAAAGGGCUCGUAGGCGGCCAACUAAGUCAGACGUGAAAUCCCCAGGCUCAACCUGGGAACUGCGUCUGAUACUGGAUGGCUUGAAUCCGGGAGAGGGAUGCGGAAUUCCAGGUGUAGCGGUGAAAUGCGUAGAUAUCUGGAGGAACACCGGUGGCGAAGGCGGCAUCCUGGACCGGCAUUGACGCUGAGGCGCGAAAGCAUGGGGAGCGAACAGG